rnacentral:rRNA from 1 species
GUGAACGCUGGCGGCGUGCCUAAUACAUGCAAGUCGAGCGAACAGACGAGGAGCUUGCUCCUUUGACGUUAGCGGCGGACGGGUGAGUAACACGUGGAUAACCUACCUAUAAGACUGGGAUAACUUCGGGAAACCGGAGCUAAUACCGGAUAACAUGUUGAACCGCAUGGUUCAACAGUGAAAGACGGUCUUGCUGUCACUUAUAGAUGGAUCCGCGCCGCAUUAGCUAGUUGGUAAGGUAACGGCUUACCAAGGCAACGAUGCGUAGCCGACCUGAGAGGGUGAUCGGCCACACUGGAACUGAGACACGGUCCAGACUCCUACGGGAGGCAGCAGUAGGGAAUCUUCCGCAAUGGGCGAAAGCCUGACGGAGCAACGCCGCGUGAGUGAAGAAGGUCUUCGGAUCGUAAAACUCUGUUAUUAGGGAAGAACAAAUGUGUAAGUAACUAUGCACGUCUUGACGGUACCUAAUCAGAAAGCCACGGCUAACUACGUG